rnacentral:rRNA from 2 species
CAAACGACUCUCGGCAACGGAUAUCUCGGCUCAUGCAUCGAUGAAGAACGUAGCGAAAUGCGAUACUUGGUGUGAAUUGCAGAAUCCCGUGAACCAUCGAGUCUUUGAACGCAAGUUGCGCCCGAAGCCAUUUGGCCGAGGGCACGUCUGCCUGGGCGUCACGC